rnacentral:rRNA from 1 species
AUUCCAGCUCCAAUAGCGUAUAUUAAAGUUGUUGCAGUUAAAAAGCUCGUAGUUGGAUUUCAGUCUUAGUUCGUCUGGCCCGCUCCCUUGAGGAGCCGAGUGCCGGUUGCGAGCUGGACUUCCUUCUAGCAUGGAACCUCUACCGUUAUGCGGCCGGGGGGGACAUCUGGAUCAUUUACUUUGAAGAAAUUAGAGUGUUCAAAGCAAGCUUACGCUGUGAAUAUAUUAGCAUGGAAUAAUAACAUAGGACUCGGGUUCUAUUUUGUUGGUUUCUAGGACUCAAGUAAUGAUUGAUAGGGACAGUUGGGGGUGCUGCUAUUAUAUGGCCAGAGGUGAAAUUCACGGAUUCAUAUAAGAGCAACUUAUGCGAAAGCAUUCACCAAGGAUGUCUUCAUUA